GAUGAACGCUAGCGGGAGGCUUAACACAUGCAAGUCGAGGGGCAGCAUAGGGUAGCAAUACUCUGAUGGCGACCGGCAAACGGGUGAGUAACGCGUAUGCAACCUACCCUGUACAGGGGGAUAACCCGGAGAAAUUCGGACUAAUAUCCCGUAAUAAUAUCCGGAGGCAUCUUUGGAUAUUUAAAGUUUCGACGGUACGGGAUGGGCAUGCGUAACAUUAGCUGGUUGGUAAGGUAACGGCUUACCAAGGCUAUGAUGUUUAGGGGUCCUGAGAGGGUGGUCCCCCACACUGGUACUGAGACACGGACCAGACUCCUACGGGAGGCAGCAGUGAGGAAUAUUGGUCAAAUGGGCGCAAGCCUGAACCAGCCAUCCCGCGUGCAGGAAGACGGCCCUAUGGGUUGUAAACUGCUUUUCCAGGGAAGAAACUUACGCACGUGUUGCGUGACUGACGGUACCCUGGGAAUAAGCAUCGGCUAACUCCGUG
rnacentral:rRNA from 1 species